CGUAGAACUGUGUACCACAUUCAUCUUUACAGUGUAUUCAUCAUGGCUUUGUCAAUGAGUCACAACUGCAAUUACAACUGUGUUAAGGAAAGAAGUUUUGAACAGAUUUGAGAUGAGAUUGGAUUGUUACAGGAGCUGCUAAAUAUAUAUUGCGACCUUGUUUAGAAGGAUUUCUAAACACAAAUUCAGCUGUCCUUAAAGUUUCCAAGAGAGACUGUGGUGUUCCUGAUGUGAUUGCUGGGCUACUCACUUGUGACAUCUGUAAGAAUCAAACACAACUCUACGUCUCAGUUCAAGGGGAAUCUUGGACUGUCAAGAAUGGGAGACGCUUUUUGUGCCUAUUUAC